rnacentral:rRNA from 1 species
GACGAACGCUGGCGGCGUGCUUAACACAUGCAAGUCGAACGGAAAGGCCCUGCUUUUGUGGGGUGCUCGAGUGGCGAACGGGUGAGUAACACGUGAGUAACCUGCCCUUGACUUUGGGAUAACUUCAGGAAACUGGGGCUAAUACCGGAUAGGAGCUCCUGCUGCAUGGUGGGGGUUGGAAAGUUUCGGCGGUUGGGGAUGGACUCGCGGCUUAUCAGCUUGUUGGUUGGGUAGUGGCUUACCAAGGCUUGGACGGGUAGCCGGCCUGAGAGGGUGACCGGCCACAUUGGGCCUGAGAUACGGCCCAGACUACUACGGGAGGCAGCAGUGGGGAAUAUUGCACAAUGGGCGGAAGCCUGAUGCAGCAACGCCGCGUGCGGGAUGACGGCCUUCGGGUUGGAAACCGCUUUCGCCUGUGACGAAGCGUGAGUGACGGUAAUGGGUAAAGAAGCACCGGCUAACUACGUG